ACCUGGGUGGCUCAGUUGGUUAAGCAUCUGACUUCAGCUCAGGUCAUGAUCUCAUGGUUCGUGGGUUUGAGCCCCGCAUCGGGUU
rnacentral:tRNA from 1 species